AUUGAACGCUGGCGGCAGGCCUAACACAUGCAAGUCGAACGAGUGGCGGACGGGUGAGUAAUGUCUGGGACACUGCCCGAUGGAGGGGGAUAACUACUGGAAACGGUAGCUAAUACCGCAUACCAUCGGAUGUGCCCAGAUGGGAUUAGCUAUGAGGUGGGGUAACGGCUCACCUAGGCGACGAUCCCUAGCUGGUCUGAGAGGAUGACCUGCCACAGCGGCACUGAGCCACGGUCCAGAGUCCCACGGGAGGCAGCAGUGGGGAAUAUUGCACCAUGGGCGCUAGCCUGCUGCAGCCAUGCCGGGUGUAUGAAGAAGGCCUUCGGGUUGGAAAGUACUUUCAGCGAGGAGGCGUUACUCGCGGAAAAAGCACCGGCUAACCCCGCGCCAGCAGCCGCGGUAAUAC
rnacentral:rRNA from 1 species